rnacentral:rRNA from 1 species
GGAUUAGAUACCCUGGUAGUCCACGCUGUAAACGAUGGGUACUAGGAGGGGGAGGGGCUCCGCCUUCCCUUUCGUAGCCAACGCGUUAAGUACCCCGCCUGGGGAGUAUGCUCGCAAGGGUAAAACUCAAAGGAAUUGACGGGGGCUCACACAAGCGGUGGAGCAUGUGGUUUAAUUCGAAGCAACGCGAAGAACCUUACCCGGGUUUGACAUGAGCGAAAGCGCGAGGAAGUAGCUGCCUGAAAGGGUUAGCCAACGGUAUCCAGUCCGGAACCUCGUACAGGUGUUGCAUGGCCGUCGUCAGCUCGUGCCG